rnacentral:rRNA from 1 species
GGCGGACGGGUGAGUAAUGUCUGGGAAACUGCCUGAUGGAGGGGGGAUAACUACUGGAAACGGUAGCUAAUACCGCAUAACGUCGCAAGACCAAAGAGGGGGACCCUCGGGCCUCUUGCCAUCGGAUGUGCCCAGAUGGGAUUAGCUAGUAGGUGGGGGUAACGGGCUCACCUAGGCGACGAUCCCUAGCUGGUCUGAGAGGAUGACCAGCCACACUGGAACUGAGACACGGUCCAGACUCCUACGGGAGGCAGCAUG